rnacentral:misc_RNA from 1 species
AAGUCGUAACAAGGUUUCCGUAGGUGAACCUGCGGAAGGAUCAUUAAAGUAUAUGUGUUUUACCAUGUGCAGAGUUGGGGGAGGUGGUUUUUGAUGUUUGAAUGAUUUAUAUUUGAUGUUAUGUUAUAAUAAGUUAUUUCAAGUUAUUUCACCAUAAUUCAAUCUGUCAACAUUAUUAUGAUUGAUGUGUUAAUUUAUGUUACUCUGUAAUUUAUAUUUAACUCGUCUUUCAUCAUAAUUCAAUCAUUCUCAUCUAUCCCCCCAUCAUAUAUACUAUUCGUCAAAUCUUAACAACAAAUAAUAAUUUGCGGCAAUGGAUCUCUAGGCUCUU